CUUUCUUUGCUGGCGACCGGCGCACGGGUGAGUAACACGUAUCCAACCUGCCCUUUACUCGGGGAUAGCCUUUCGAAAGAAAGAUUAAUACCCGAUAGCAUAAUGAUUCCGCAUGGUUUCAUUAUUAAAGGAUUCCGGUAAAGGAUGGGGAUGCGUUCCAUUAGGUUGUUGGUGUGGUAACGGCUCACCAAGCCUUCGAUGGAUAGGGGUUCUGAGAGGAAGGUCCCCCACAUUGGAACUGAGACACGGUCCAA
rnacentral:rRNA from 1 species